rnacentral:rRNA from 1 species
GGUUAAGUGACUAAGCGUACACGGUGGAUGCCUUGGCAGUUGGAGGCGAUGAAGGACGUACUAACUUGCGAUAAGCCUAGUCAAGCCAGUAAGAGGCGCUUGAGACUAGGAUUUCCGAAUGGGGGAACCCACCUGCUUGCAGGUAUCGUUAACUGAAUACAUAGGUUAACGAGGCGAACGCGGAGAACUGAAACAUCUAAGUACCCGUAGGAAAAGAAAUCAACCGAGAUUCCGAAAGUAGCGGCGAGCGAAAUCGGACCAGCCCUUAAGCUUUAGUGUAGUUAGUGGAACAUGUUGGAAAGCAUGACGAAACAGGGUGAUAGUCCCGUACACAAAAACUUAUCUAAAGUGAAAUCGAGUAGGUCGGAGCACGUGAAACUUUGACUGAAUAUGGGGGGACCAUCCUCCAAGGCUAAAUACUCCCAACUGACCGAUAGUGAACCAGUACCGUGAGGGAAAGGCGAAAAGAACCCCUGUGAGGGGAGUGAAAUAGAACCUGAAACCGUGUACGUACAAGCAGUAGGAGCCUACUUGUUGGGUGACUGCGUACCUUUUGUAUAAUGGGUCAGCGACUUAUAUUCUGUAGCGAGGUUAACCAUUUAGGGGAGCCGUAGCGAAAGCGAGUCUUAACUGGGCGCUUAAGUUGCAGGGUAUAGACCCGAAACCCGGUGAUCUAGCCAUGGGCAGGUUGAAGGUUGAGUAACAUCAACUGGAGGACCGAACCCACUAACGUUGAAAAGUUAGGGGAUGACCUGUGGCUAGGAGUGAAAGGCUAAUCAAACCGGGAGAUAGCUGGUUCUCCCCGAAAUCUAUUUAGGUAGAGCCUCGGACGAAUACUUACGGGGGUAGAGCACUGUUAAGGCUAGGGGGUCAUCCCGACUUACCAACCCUUUGCAAACUCCGAAUACCGUAAAGUAAUAUCCGGGAGACACACGGCGGGUGCUAACGUCCGUCGUGGAGAGGGAAACAACCCAGACCGUCAGCUAAGGUCCCAAAGUGUAUGUUAAGUGGGAAACGAUGUGGGAAGGCUAAAACAGCUAGGAGGUUGGCUUAGAAGCAGCCACCCUUUAAAGAAAGCGUAAUAGCUCACUAGUCGAGUCGGCCUGCGCGGAAGAUGUAACGGGGCUAAACAUACCACCGAAGCUACGGCUGCGAACUUAGUUCGCGGGGUAGGGGAGCGUUCUGUAAGUGGCUGAAGGUGUGCCGGGAGGCAUGCUGGACAUAUCAGAAGUGCGAAUGCUGACAUGAGUAACGACAAGAGGAGUGAAAAACUCCUCCGCCGGAAGACCAAGGGUUCCUAUCCCAUGUUAAUCAGGGUAGGGUGAGUCGACCCCUAAGGCGAGGCUGAAGAGCGUAGUCGAUGGGAAACGGGUUAAUAUUCCCGUACUCGGUAUGAAUGCGAUGGGGGGACGGAGCAGGCUAGGCAAGCAUGGCGUUGGUUGUCCAUGUGAAAGGCUGUAGGCUGGUGACUUAGGAAAAUCCGGGUUGCCAAGGCUGAGAGUCGAGACGAGCCACUAAGGUGGUGAAGUUGUUGAUGCCCUACUUCCAGGAAAAGCCUCUAAGCUUCAGUUCAUACUGAAUCGUACCCUAAACCGACACAGGUGGUCAGGUAGAGAAUACUAAGGCGCUUGAGAGAACUCGGGUGAAGGAACUAGGCAAAAUUGUACCGUAACUUCGGGAGAAGGUACGCUCUUGUUUGUGAAGGACUUGCUCUGUAAGCAAACGAGAGCCGCAGUGACCAGGUGGCUGGGACUGUUUAUUAAAAACACAGCACUGUGCAAAAUCGUAAGAUGACGUAUACGGUGUGACACCUGCCCGGUGCCGGAAGGUUAAUUGAUGGGGUUAGCUUAGGCGAAGCUCUUGAUCGAAGCCCCGGUAAACGGCGGCCGUAACUAUAACGGUCCUAAGGUAGCGAAAUUCCUUGUCGGGUAAGUUCCGACCUGCACGAAUGGUGUAACCAUGGCCACGCUGUCUCCACCCGAGACUCAGUGAAAUUGAAAUCGCAGUGAAGAUGCUGUGUACCCGCGGCUAGACGGAAAGACCCCGUGAACCUUUACUACAGCUUGGCACUGAACAUUGACCCUACAUGUGUAGGAUAGGUGGGAGGCUUUGAAGCAGAGACGCUAGUUUCUGUGGAGCCGACCUUGAAAUACCACCCUUGUAGUGUUGAUGUUCUAACUUAGGCCCCUGAAUCGGGGUUGAGGACAGUGCCUGGUGGGUAGUUUGACUGGGGCGGUCUCCUCCCAAAGAGUAACGGAGGAGCACGAAGGUUUGCUAAGUACGGUCGGACAUCGUACGGUUAGUGUAAUGGUAGAAGCAAGCUUAACUGCGAGACAGACACGUCGAGCAGGUACGAAAGUAGGUCAUAGUGAUCCGGUGGUUCUGAAUGGAAGGGCCAUCGCUCAACGGAUAAAAGGUACUCCGGGGAUAACAGGCUGAUACCGCCCAAGAGUUCAUAUCGACGGCGGUGUUUGGCACCUCGAUGUCGGCUCAUCACAUCCUGGGGCUGAAGUCGGUCCCAAGGGUAUGGCUGUUCGCCAUUUAAAGUGGUACGCGAGCUGGGUUUAGAACGUCGUGAGACAGUUCGGUCCCUAUCUGCCGUGGGCGUUUGAGAAUUGAGAGGGGCUGCUCCUAGUACGAGAGGACCGGAGUGGACGAACCGCUGGUGUUCGGGUUGUGAUGCCAAUUGCAUUGCCCGGUAGCUACGUUCGGAACUGAUAACCGCUGAAAGCAUCUAAGCGGGAAGCAGGCCUCGAGAUGAGUUCUCACUUUGACUUAGAGUCAACUGAAGGGCCGUUGAAGACUACAACGUUGAUAGGCGAGAUGUGGAAGUGCUGUGAGGCAUUAAGCUAACUCGUACUAAUUACCCGUGAGGCUUAACCAU